rnacentral:rRNA from 1 species
UACGGAGGGUGCAAACGUUGCUCGGAAUCAUUGGGCGUAAAGCGCACGUAGGCGGCUCGUUAAGUCGGAUGUGAAAGCCCUGGGCUCAACCCAGGAAGUGCAUACGAAACUGGCGAGCUUGAGUAUGGAAGAGGGUCGCGGAAUUCCCGGUGUAGAGGUGAAAUUCGUAGAUAUCGGGAGGAACACCAGUGGCGAAGGCGGCGACCUGGGCCAAUACUGACGCUGAUGCACGAAAGCUAGGGGAGCAAACAGG